rnacentral:lncRNA from 1 species
AUAGAAAUGCAGAAGGGAGAAUGGUUCAAGCUUAAACUACAAUUCAUUAGGCAUAAUAUGAAAGCAUCAUAGUGAAUGUUCAUCAUCUCCUGACAUAUCAGGUAGUACAGCCACAAUUAGCCAGCCCAAAAAUGAUCUAGAAAAUGGAGAUUCGAUGCUAUACAACACUUUUAUCAACUGGCUUCAUAACAUCGAUAAAAGUCUUGUCCGUAAGGUACUUGUGUACAAAACAAACUCCCAUAUUUGCUCGUAAACUCCCAUCUUUUAAACUUCUAAAUCUGCAGGUAUUGGCAGAGAUGCUGGGGACAUUGUUGGAUGAUUUUUGUGAAUAGUGACGCCGAAAUAAGUAUAAUGAUGGUGACAAAGCCGAGGCAAGAGUUGGACUCUUUGUCCUUAAGUCGAAUUUGCCCCGCAACGGUGCCUACGGAUUUCGACAAUCGACUCCCAAGAUACAACGACUACACUUGUGUUUGUAGCACUCCAAAACACAAGUACAACGAACCAAAUUUAGGCUUAAGUACUCCAAGGAUGAAAUGAAAGAAAAUCAAAAUAAAUGAAAUGAUUUUGAUUUUGGAUAGAAGAGAGGAUGAGAGACGUUUUGCAUAUCAAACUGUGAGGAAUAGGACACCCAAAGGGUCUUAUUUAUAGACCAUGAAAGGGUGUGGACGAAAUGGUUGAGGCCAAAUCAUGCACCAUUUCCAAACAAUGUACCUUUAUGAAAAGGUGUCUAUUCACUGAUUUUCGUCCUUUUUCGUAAUUUCUCAUUCAUCCGAUAUUGGUUUUCGAAAUGCCAAAUAUACCCUUCAAUACAUGCAGAGAAAUCAAAAUUCUCUUUCGGGGGCGUUGCCCCCGACCCCCCACGAGGGGCGCUGCCCCCUCGACCCUCGCGACCUGACC